AGGCCUAACACCAGCUGACAAGGCCCCUACCCCCGGAUGGCAUGACCGCGUUCCUGCCUGCCAAUCUGCUUCGCUCCUGCCAUGGCGACAUUUACACCUUUCCUCUCCUAUCGCCUUUUUCUGCCACACUCCCCUCCCCAUUGGUGCUGAGCCGUGCUCCCUCAAGGGCUGCAGAAGAUAGCGCCAACCUUUCCUUUCCCAAAAUGAACUACUUAGUAGCUCAUUGUCCCAUCUCCAAGGUGAUCCUGUGCUGCUGCAUCUGUACACCCAGUGUGUGUGUGUCCAAGUCAGAAAUGUGCAGUUUGUGAAGGUGUUUUUUUACAGGGAAAGGGAAGAGAGAGAAGAUGGCUCUCAAAGUUUCAGUUUAACCUUGCAACUAGCAGUGAGCAGCCCCAUACGAAGCACUUAUGAUGCGCCUAGUUGACUGGUGCUUCUUCGUUACUUGUGACCGUAGAGAAGACGGCACCCGGGCUAUCUGAGGAGCUUGAGCUGAUUACACGAGCAGUCUCAUAACUGCAUCAGUGUUGAUCAGAAAAUGUAUGGGAGAGGCUCUAUGCAACUACGCUGUAAAGGUCGUGGUACUUGUUGGCAGCUUGGAGAAAAGGCCUGCUGCAACAAGUGAAACCCAAAGCCAGACCAGUGAGACAAAAAGGAAACUUGGAAGUUUGGUGCCCAGCAUGAAAGUGUUUUUGGUGAGAAUGGUUCGCUGUUGUAAGGAAGCAGCAAGCUGUCUGCAUUAUUCAGCAUAUUGCACAGAUUAAGACACAAGCAGACGGUCUGAAGAUUUAGACUUGUAAGGUGUGAUUGUAUUGAUUAUGAAACAAUAUUUGUGGCUUUACAGUAAGAAAAGUUGACAGAAGCUAGUGGUUGAGUUGAGAGAAGCUAGCCACUAUGACUUGUAAGACCAUGUGCCUUAUUGGCUUCUUUGUGCAAGCUUAUAGAAGAGACUCGAUGAGGCUUGUGAAUUUCAUUCACCUUAGAUUUCACUGGUCCUUAGAAGUGCAUGUGUGAAAGCAGUAUAACAAUGCGAAAAUCUUCAUGUCAUGCAACAUGCAUUUUGCUUUAUUUGUUGCUUGGCAGGUUUCUUUCUUUCGCAUUUGUACAGCUGGGGCCAUUUCUUGGGUGUAUUGCACAUUUGCAUAGUUUUGUGUGCUGCAUUUUAACCUAUGUAAUGCUUGUAAAUUGUCAGUGGAGCUUAGAUUCUCCCUGAUUUAUGUCAUAAUAACAUCAAAGCAUUUGAAAAAACCUGUGCUGGCACUCUUUGGCCGCACAUAGCCCUUACCCUAAUAAACACAGUAUAAUUAUGUCAGUGGAGCAUGUUUUCUGUGAUAUUAUUGGUUUUGACAAGAACGUUCUGUACUCACUUUCACUUUUGUUUCGCAGCUGCUUUGGCCGGAGAUGCGGCUGACAUCAUUAUGAAACAAACUUUUGAUGUUUGUUGGUUGUUGCACAUAGGUUUGUGGCAAUUCACCACUCGCUUGUGGUUGGGCAGCAAAAUCUAACAUAUGGCAGUUAUUAAAUUAUGUUUGGCUGCAACACGGAGCUGCAUAGUGCAUAUGAUAAUUUUAAAUGACCUCAAGUAAUGUUGAUAUAGCCAUAUUUUCAGUUUAGGCACUUGGUGUAAAUCCCAGUAAAUUAUUGGAACUGUGAAAGUAUAUCUGUUAAAUCACUAAAGCCUAAACUGUCAAUAUGGCUACAUCACCAUCACUUGAGUAUUGGAACUGUGAAAGUAGAACUGUUAAAUCACUAGAGCAGUUCAUUGUGCAAGUGAGGCAGCACAUGGUAAAUAUCGAUUGUUCAGGUAAUACAUAACACGAACAUGCCCUACUAUGAUCUCUGUCCCAUAAGAGGUUUUUUUAAUAAAACACUUAAAAGAAGAAUGCCAGUUUACAGAUAUUGCUCAAGAAUAUUAUGUCAGCAUCUGAACGAAGGGUGUUGAAUGUUGGAGAAUUCCUUGGAAUCAACAACAUACUACUCGUACACAGAAGUACUGCUAAAAAUGUAUUGUGUCUGUGAAGUUUUGUUAUGUACAAAAAAAAUUGCUUGGCCUGCUGAGCAGCCCUGUCAUAAAGUUGGUAAUUUUGUGCAAGGUUGCCCAUUAUCUACUCUUUCUGCUGCUUUAUCCCUUAUUGUGCCCAGCAAACGUUAGUCUAAUAUGAUAAAUGUAUAAGCAGUUAUGUUUGUGGAGUUCAUGCUUUCUAUAAUAAAAAGGAUCACGAGAAGUUUCCAGUUCUAUUUUGGAAGUAAGUUGUUGCAUGUCCUGCUCAUGUUUUCGAGCGUCUAUUGACCUGAAAGUGCAUCCAGAGGCAGUAUCAA